GUCCACGCUGUAAACGAUGAUCACUCGCUGUUGGCGAUAUACUGUUCAGCGGCUAAGCGAAAGCAUUAAGUGAUCCACCUGGGGAGUACGGUCGCAAGACUGAAACUCAAAGGAAUUGACGGGGGCCCGCACAAGCGGAGGAACAUGUGGUUUAAUUCGAUGAUACGCGAGGAACCUUACCUGGACUUAAAUGGAGAACGACGUCUUGUGAAAGCAGGAUUCCCUUCGGGGCGGUCUUCAAGGUGCUGCAUGGUUGUCGU
rnacentral:rRNA from 1 species